rnacentral:rRNA from 1 species
UACGUAGGGUGCGAGCGUUAAUCGGAAUUACUGGGCGUAAAGCGUGCGCAGGCGGUUCGUUAAGUCAGCUGUGAAAGCCCCGGGCUCAACCUGGGAAUUGCGGUUGAAACUGGCGAACUAGAAUCUGGCAGAGGAGGGUGGAAUUCCACGUGUAGCAGUGAAAUGCGUAGAGAUGUGGAGGAACACCGAUGGCGAAGGCAGCCCCCUGGGCUGAGAUUGACGCUCAGGCACGAAAGCGUGGGGAGCAAACAGG